rnacentral:rRNA from 1 species
UGGGGAAUAUUGGACAAUGGGGGCAACCCUGAUCCAGCCAUGCCGCGUGGGUGAAGAAGUCCUUAGGGUUGUAAAACCCUUUCAGCGGGGAAGAUGAUGACGGUACCCGCAGAAGAAGCCCCGGGUAACUCCGUGCCAGCAGCCGCGGUAAUACGGAGGGUGCAAGCGUUAUCCGGAUUUACUGGGUUUAAAGGGUGCGUAGGCGGCUUUUUAAGUCAGUGGUGAAAGCCUAGACACUUAAUGUCAGAAGUGCCAUUGAUACUGAAGAGCUUGAGUCGAGGAGAGGUAAGCAGAAUUUGUGGUGUAGCAGUGAAAUGCUUAGAUACCAUGAGGAAUACCAACAGCGAAAGCAGCUUACUGGCCUUGUACUGACGCUGAGGCACGAAAGCGUGGGGAGCAAACAGGAUUAGAUACCCGUGUAGUCC